rnacentral:lncRNA from 1 species
UUUUUUUUUUGACAAACAACAACUUAUACCAUUUCAUUAUUCAAAAUAGAAGUAAUACAAGGAGGUAACAUCUCAAGACUAUAGUGACAAGGCCACGAAAUGGCCGCUUUCGCAAGCGUAUGGGCAGCCAUGUUCGCUUGUCGCUUAAUAAACUUUACCACAAAGUUUGGAUUCAUCAAUAGUACAUUUUUAAUAUUACAAAUAAUUGAACUAAACUCCGAGG